AACGAACGCUGGCGGCAUGCCUAACACAUGCAAGUCGAACGGGAUCCGGACUUCGGUUCGGUGAGAGUGGCGGACGGGUGAGUAACGCGUGGGAACCUGCCCAGUGGUGGGGGAUAACUGCGGGAAACUGCAGCUAAUACCGCAUGAGCCCGAGAGGGGAAAGAUUUAUCGCCAUUGGAGGGGCCCGCGUUCGAUUAGGUAGUUGGUGAGGUAACGGCUCACCAAGCCGACGAUCGAUAGCUGGUCUGAGAGGAUGAUCAGCCACACUGGGACUGAGAUACGGCCCAGACUCCUACGGGAGGCAGCAGUGGGGAAUAUUGGACAAUGGGGGCAACCCUGAUCCAGCAAUGCCGCGUGAGUGAUGAAGGCCUUCGGGUUGUAAAGCUCUUUUGCCAGGGACGAUGAUGACGGUACCUGGAGAAUAAGCCCCGGCUAACUUCGUGCCAGCAGCCGCGGUAAUACGAAGGGGGCAAGCGUUGUUCGGAAUUACUGGGCGUAAAGGGCGCGUAGGCGGCUUAUCAAGUCAGGCGUGAAAUUCCCGGGCUCAACCUGGGGGCUGCGCUUGAUACUGAUGAGCUUGAAUGCGGGAGAGGAUAGUGGAAUUCCCAGUGUAGAGGUGAAAUUCGUAGAUAUUGGGAAGA
rnacentral:rRNA from 1 species